UAGGGAAUAUUGCGCAAUGGGGGAAACCCUGACGCAGCAACGCCGCGUGUGGGAUGACGGCUUUCGGGUUGUAAACCACUUUCAGUGACGACGAAAAUGACGGUAGUCACAGAAGAAGUUCCGGCCAACUACGUGCCAGCAGCCGCGGUAACACGUAGGGGACAAGCGUUGUCCGGAUUUAUUGGGCGUAAAGAGCUCGUAGGCGGUUUCGUAAGUCGGAUGUGAAAACUCAGGGCUCAACCCUGAGACGCCAUCCGAUACUGCGAUGACUAGAGUCCGGUAGGGGAGCAUGGAAUUCCUGGUGUAGCGGUGGAAUGCGCAGAUAUCAGGAGGAACACCAGUGGCGAAGGCGGUGCUCUGGGCCGGUACUGACGCUGAGGAGCGAAAGCGUGGGGAGCAAACAGGAUUAGAUACCCCCGUAGUCC
rnacentral:rRNA from 1 species